rnacentral:rRNA from 1 species
CCUACGGGUGGCAGCAGUGAGGAAUAUUGGUCAAUGGACGCAAGUCUGAACCAGCCAUGCCGCGUGCAGGAAGACGGCUCUAUGAGUUGUAAACUGCUUUUGUACGAGGGUAAACGCAGAUACGCGUAUUCAGCUGAAAGUACUGUACGAAUAAGGAUAGGCUAACUCCGUGCCAGCAGCCGCGGUAAUACGGAGGAUCCAAGCGUUAUCCGGAUUUAUUGGGUUUAAGGGGUGCGUAGGCGGAUUGAUAAGUAAGAGGUGAAAUGUCCGAGCUCAACUCGGGAACUGCCUCUAAUACUGUUGAUCUAGAGAGUAGAUGCGGUAGGCGGAAUUUAUGGUGUAGCGGUGAAAUGCUUAGAGAUCAUACAGAACACCGAUUGCGAAGGCAGCUUACCAAUCUAUAUCUGACGUUGAGGCACGAAAGCGUGGGGAGCAAACAGGAUUAGAUACCCGAGUAGUC